CGGAGGGUGCAAGCGUUAUCCGGAUUCACUGGGUUUAAAGGGUGCGUAGGUGGGUUGGAUAAGUCAGUGGUGAAAUCUUCCAGGCUUAACUUGGAAACUGCCAUUGAUACUAUCAGUCUUGAAUACUGUGGAGAUGAGCGGAAUAUGUCAUGUAGCGGUGAAAUGCUUAGAUAUGACAUAGAACACCUAUUGCGAAGGCAGCUCGUUACACAAAUAUUGACACUGAGGCACGAAAGCGUGGGGAUCAAACAGGAUUAGAUACCCUGGUAGUCCACGCCCUAAACGAUGGAUACUCGACAUUUGCGAUAAACUGCAAGUGUCUGAGCGAAAGCAUUAAGUAUCCCACCUGGGAAGUACGACCGCAAGGUUG
rnacentral:rRNA from 1 species